rnacentral:rRNA from 1 species
UACAGAGACUGCAAGCGUUAUUCGGAUUCACUGGGCGUAAAGGGUGCGCAGCGGCCGUGUGUGUGAGGCGUGAAAGCCUGGAGCUUAACUCCAGAAUUGCACCUCAAACUACACGGCUAGAGCAUUGGAGAGGGUAGCGGAAUUCACGGUGUAGCAGUGAAAUGCGUAGAUAUCGUGAGGAACACCAGAGGCGAAGGCGGCUACCUGGACAAUUGCUGACGCUCAGGCACGAAAGCGUGGGGAGCAAAAGGG